GAUGAACGCUGGCGGCGUGCCUAAUACAUGCAAGUCGAGCGAACAGAUAAGGAGCUUGCUCCUUUGACGUUAGCGGCGGAUGGGUGAGUAACACGUGGGUAACCUACCUAUAAGACUGGAAUAACUCCGGGAAACCGGGGCUAAUGCCGGAUAACAUUUAGAACCGCAUGGUUCUAAAGUGAAAGAUGGCUUUACUAUAACUUAUAGAUGGACCCGCGCCGUAUUAACUGGUUGGUAAGGUAACGGCUUAACAAGGCAACGAUACGUAGCGGACCUGAGAGGGUGAUCGGCCAGACUGGAACUGAGACACGGUCCAGACUCCUACGGGAGGCAGCAGUAGGGAAUCUUCCGCAAUGGGCGAAAGCCUGACGGAGCAACGCCGCGUGAGUGAUGAAGGUCUUCGGAUCGGAAAACUCUGUUAUUAGGGAAGAACAAAUGUGUAAGUAGCUGUGCACGUCUUGACGGUACCUAAUCAGAAAGCCACGGCUAACUACGUG
rnacentral:rRNA from 1 species